AUUCUCGGUAGAACCGCCAAUUACAGGAUAUAGCUCAAGUUGGUUAGAGCACUCGGCUCAUAACCGAGAGUGU
rnacentral:tRNA from 1 species